UUGAACGCUGGCGGCAUGCCUUACACAUGCAAGUCGAACGGCAGCACGGGUGCUUGCACCUGGUGGCGAGUGGCGAACGGGUGAGUAAUACAUCGGAACAUGUCCUGUAGUGGGGGAUAGCCCGGCGAAAGCCGGAUUAAUACCGCAUACGAUCUACGGAUGAAAGCGGGGGACCUUCGGGCCUCGCGCUAUAGGGUUGGCCGAUGGCUGAUUAGCUAGUUGGUGGGGUAAAGGCCUACCAAGGCGACGAUCAGUAGCUGGUCUGAGAGGACGACCAGCCACACUGGGACUGAGACACGGCCCAGACUCCUACGGGAGGCAGCAGUGGGGAAUUUUGGACAAUGGGCGAAAGCCUGAUCCAGCAAUGCCGCGUGUGUGAAGAAGGCCUUCGGGUUGUAAAGCACUUUUGUCCGGAAAGAAAUCCUUGGCCCUAAUACGGUCGGGGGGAUGACGGUACCGGAAGAAUAAGCACCGGCUAACUACGUG
rnacentral:rRNA from 1 species